UAAUCUCAUCCUAAUCUGGUCGCA
rnacentral:miRNA from 1 species